rnacentral:rRNA from 1 species
UCCAACCCCUGUGACAUACCACUUGUUGCCUCGGCGGAUCAGCCCGCUCCCGGUAAAACGGGACGGCCCGCCAGAGGACCCCUAAAACUCUGUUUCUAUAUGUAACUUCUGAGUAAAACCAUAAAUAAAUCAAAACUUUCAACAACGGAUCUCUUGGUUCUGGCAUCGAUGAAGAACGCAGCAAAAUGCGAUAAGUAAUGUGAAUUGCAGAAUUCAGUGAAUCAUCGAAUCUUUGAACGCACAUUGCGCCCGCCAGUAUUCUGGCGGGCAUGCCUGUUCGAGCGUCAUUUCAACCCUCAAGCACAGCUUGGUGUUGGGACUCGCGUUAAUUCGCGUUCCUCAAAUUGAUUGGCGGUCACGUCGAGCUUCCAUAGCGUAGUAGUAAAACCCUCGUUACUGGUAAUCGUCGCGGCCACGCCGUUAAACCCCAACUUCUGAAUGUUGACCUCGGAUCAGGUAGGAAUACCCGCUGAACUUAAGCAUAUCAAUAAGCGGAGGA